rnacentral:snRNA from 1 species
AUACUUACCUGGCAGGGGAGACACCACGCUCAGGAAGGUGGUUUUCCCAGGACGGGGCUGAUCCAUUGCGCUGGGGACCUGCUGACCCCUGCGAUUUCCCCAGGUGGGGGAAACUCGGCUGCAUAAUUUGUGUUUGUGGUGGUCUGUGUCCGUGCUUUCCCCCG